rnacentral:lncRNA from 1 species
GAAGCUAAAUAAUCUCGAAUCCACGAGAGAAUAGUUGUGUUCAAAGAACAAGUUUAUUGAUGAAAAAUAAUAAUGUCUACAACCUUCCUGACUUGGUGCUUUUAAAGAAACGAAAACAGAAAAUAGAAUCCUAAAAGGAAGGGGAAACUAAUAUCAAACAAGUUUGAUUUGUUUCCAACACUAACGACAGAUAAAAAUAAAAGUAGAAUCCUAAAAGGACUGCGAUCUAACAAAUAAACUAACUAACAGUAUUAACUUCCUCAUGUCCUACAUCA